CCUACGGGAGGCAGCAGUGGGGAAUAUUGCGCAAUGGGCGAAAGCCUGACGCAGCGACGCCGCGUGAGGGAUGAAGGUCUUCGGAUCGUAAACCUCUGUCAGCAGGGAAGAACGGUCACUGUGCUAAUCAGCAGUGAAUUGACGGUACCUGCAAAGGAAGCACCGGCUAACUCCGUGCCAGCAGCCGCGGUAAUACGGAGGGUGCGAGCGUUAAUCGGAAUUACUGGGCGUAAAGCGCUCGUAGGCGGUAUGUCAAGUCAAGGGUGAAAUCCCCGCGCUCAACGUGGUAACUGCCUUUGAAACUGGCAAACUGGAGUGUGUGAGAGGAUAGUGGAAUUCCAGGUGUAGGAGUGAAAUCCGUAGAUAUCUGGAGGAACAUCAGUGGCGAAGGCGACUAUCUGGAACAUAACUGACGCUGAGGAGCGAAAGCGUGGGUAGCAAACAGGAUUAGAUACCCCAGUAGUC
rnacentral:rRNA from 1 species